rnacentral:rRNA from 1 species
UACGUACCGUCCAAACGUUAUUCGGAAUCACUGGGCUUAAAGAGUUCGUAGGCGGCCCAGAAAGUUGGGUGUGAAAUCCCUCGGCUUAACCGAGGAAUUGCGCUCAAAACUACUGGGCUAGAGGGAGAUAGAGGUGAGCGGAACUGAUGGUGGAGCGGUGAAAUGCGUUGAUAUCAUCAGGAACACCGGAGGCGAAGGCGGCUCACUGGGUCUUUCCUGACGCUGAGGAACGAAAGCUAGGGGAGCGAACGGG